UGCAAGUCGAGCGGAACGAUCCUAGCUUGCUAGGAGGCGUCGAGCGGCGGACGGGUGAGUAAUGCAUGGGAAUCUGCCCGAUAGUGGGGGACAACCUGGGGAAACUCAGGCUAAUACCGCAUACGUCCUACGGGAGAAAGCAGGGGAUCUUCGGACCUUGCGCUAUCGGAUGAGCCCAUGUCGGAUUAGCUUGUUGGUGAGGUAAAGGCUCACCAAGGCGACGAUCCGUAGCUGGUCUGAGAGGAUGAUCAGCCA
rnacentral:rRNA from 1 species